rnacentral:misc_RNA from 1 species
AUGCUGCCAAACCCCAACCAAUAGUGAAUUAGAACAACAGGUGAAAAUUAUGCGGUCGGAAUAGCUAGCUUCAAGCCUUCAACCAAGAACUAGCCAUCUGUUCUCUCUAGAGAGAAAAAGAGAGAGUUAUGGCUCCUUUUACUUCCCUUCUGCUACUGCUCUUUGCCUUUCUUGGAACAGUAACACCUGCAAAAUCAAUGCCUGCAUUUUUCCCCAGAGCAAGCUACUAUCAAUCUUUAACCGCCAAACAAUCAAAGGCCACAAAGCCAAAGGUCGCUUACAAGACCCACUACUUCCCUCAGAUUCUGGACCACUUCACUUUCCAACCCAAGAGCUCUAAAAUUUUCUACCAGAAGUACCUCAUUAAUAGCCAAUACUGGCACCGAGGAGCUCCUAUCUUUGUCUACACUGGAAAUGAAGGUGACAUUGACUGGUUUGCGGCCAACACUGGCUUCUUGCUAGAUAUUGCUCCCAAGUUCCGGGCUCUCCUGGUUUUCAUCGAAGUACUGUCCUGUUUAACUUCGAAAAAAGGAAAAAAAUGUCCUUCAAAAAAAUCAGUCUUAUGUUACUCAAUAGGGCUAGAGAAUGCAAUUAAAAUUUGAAAGCACUAUCUGGGUUUGCUCGGAGCACAUGGGAACAUUUUUCUUGGUGUUGCAUUCCCAAGGCAAAGCACCAAAAGUCCCUUUUGCUUGCCCCUCAACUACUGAAGUACUCCAUGCCGGUUCCCAGAAUGCUAAAAAAUGAUAGGAACCCAAGACAAUAAUGGGUUCAGCUAAAUCAUAAAAGCAUGUCUUGGGUGUUCCUCAAAGCAUCGUUUCUUGUUAAAUUUCAGUAAUAUUUUAUCCAGAGAAGAAAACGUCAUUACUGAUGGGUUUGUUUCUGUGUGGUUUCAGCACAGAUUUUAUGGGGAGUCAAUGCCAUUUGGGAAGGACUCGUACAAUUCAGUAGAGACAUUAGGGUACUUGAAUUCACAGCAAGCAUUGGCUGAUUUUGCGGUUCUGGUGAGGAGCUUGAAGCACAAUCUUUCCUCUGAAGCAUCUCCUGUGGUGGUGUUUGGUGGCUCUUAUGGAGGCAGUAAGCUCAAAACCCUUCUCAAUCUUUUUAUGCUUUAAAGGUUUAUCUUUGGAAUAGUCUUGAAUAUGAUUGCUUGCUGGUAUAUUCAUAUGAUGUGAAAGUAGAUAUCUUCGCCUAUGAAUAUAUUUUCCUCAAUUCAGUAGCUUUUGUUGUUUGAAGUGUUGUAAUUCAGUAAUUGAAGGAAGGACAACCAUUAAGGGAGCAGCUUUUAAUGCUCUUUGCAGUGUUAUGCUGCUGGAUGUUCCAGUUGAAUUAUCAAAUAGCUUAGUUGUGCUGGCUGCAUGGUUCAGACUGAAAUACCCACACAUAGCCAUUGGUGCAUUGGCAUCUUCAGCCCCUAUUUUGCAGUUUGAUGAUAUUACUCCGUGGUCAAGCUUCUAUGAUGCUGUAUCCCAGGAUUACAAGGAUGCAAGCUUGAAUUGCUAUGAAGUGAUUAAAGGUAGCUGGGCAGAGCUGGAGGCAUUGUCAGCUCAGAAAGAAGGGUUGGUUGAACUAAGCAGAACCUUCAGAACUUGCAAAAAUCUUCAUUCAUUAGAUUCUGUCUGGGACUGGCUAUGGUCUGCAUUUGUUUACACAGCCAUGGUGAACUAUCCAACUGAAGCAAAUUUUAUGAUGCCACUGCCUGCCUACCCUGUGAAGGAGAUGUGCAAGAUCAUUGAUGGAUUUCCACCAAGGGCUUCCAAGAUUAGCAGGGUUUUUGCAGCUGCCAGCUUAUAUUACAACUAUUCUCGUGGAGAAAAAUGCUUUCAGUUGGAAAAUGAACCUGAUUCUCAUGGCCUUCAUGGUUGGAACUGGCAGGCAUGUACAGAGAUGGUCAUGCCAAUGACUUGCUCAAUAGAGAGCAUGUUUCCUCCAUCUGGGUAUGAUUACAAAGAGUUUGCAGAAGGAUGCAAGAAAAAAUAUGGGGUCACGCCUCGACCGCAUUGGAUCACUACUGAAUUUGGUGGCAAAAGAAUUGAUCAAGUGUUGAAGAGAUCUGGUGGCAACAUCAUAUUUUCUAAUGGAAUGCAAGACCCCUGGAGCAGAGGAAGUGUCUUGAAAAAUAUAUCUUCCAGCAUCAUUGCUCUCGUCACCAAGAAGGGAGCUCAUCAUGUUGAUUUUAGAUCUGCAACAAAAGAUGACCCUGACUGGCUUAAGGAGCUGAGGAGGCAGGAAGUUGAGAUUAUUGGGAGGUGGAUAGAUGAGUACUAUGCAGAUUUAAAACAAGGGAUAGAUAAUGCAUGAAGUUUAGAUUACAGAAGAGGAUCAUGUGCAAAACUUGAUGAUUGUUACCACAAGUGUUACUUAUUUUUUAUGUGUAUGUACCAACUAAUUGUGGUCUCAUAAUGCCAUAAUCAAGCCUUUGAACUAAUAGUUUAGUGUCUAUUUAGAGGAGUAAUUAGUAGAGGAUUUGAUAAACAUGACAUUUGGGCAAUUUU